UGCGUAGGCGGUUUUGUAAGUCUUGUGUGAAAUCUUCAGGCUCAACUUGAAGACUGCACGAGAAACUGCAGGGCUUGAGUGUGGGAGAGGUGAGUGGAAUUCCUGGUGUAGCGGUGAAAUGCGUAGAUAUCAGGAGGAACACCUGUGGCGAAAGCGGCUCACUGGACCACAACUGACGCUGAUGCACGAAAGCGUAGGGGAGACAAACA
rnacentral:rRNA from 1 species